rnacentral:lncRNA from 1 species
UUUGCCUACUUUAUUUCAUUUUUUCAAAUAAAAUUUCAAUCUGUACAAAGUAUACUGUUACAGUAUAUAUUUUGUAAGAAUCAAUGCCUAAAAGAAUCACAAUACUUCAAUAAGCAGUACAGCAGACCUCGCUAGUUUCAGCUUUGAUAUUGAACAAACUCAAGCCGGCUGAUGCACAACACAUUUGCUUGGUUUCCACAUGGUGAGUUCCCAGCACUGAGAUGGGAGAACAUGACAGCAAAUAUGGUUAUAUUACAGCCCAACACACGCGCUUCUUCAUAUGAUAAUAUCUGCACAUAUGCAAUACAGAAUGCUCAAAUUUACUUUUUAAAUUGCAUUUGCUUACUUUUUAGUUGGCAAAAUUCAACAUUCUUGAAUGGGGUCCCCAAACAGUGCAAAGUAAUGAUAUUCUACUAUAUAUUGGCACAUUUCCAAUAAGGAUUAACUUGUAAACUCAAAGAAUAUCAACAACUUCAUCCUAAAUUUUAACUAAUGUACAUCUGGUCCAUUUAACCAAAGUCAUUUUGGAAAGAUAUUAAAGAACAAUUCUAUUUCUGAAAGGAUAUUGUUUUGACCAUUCUUUAAAGAUAAAUUUUUAAAUUGUCAUUAAAAUGUUUUAUUAUAAAAAUUUUACAAACUUGAUUAGAAAUUUCAAGAUGAUGAUUCACAGCAGACAAAUACAAACUUUAUAUUCCAACAAUACCUACUCUUAGACUUUCAAAUAGAGCACAAUCAUGUCAGCUGUGUGAACUAAAAUUCUGAACAGUGUACUAAAUUUAUAAGUGGUGCUGGGUCUAGCAAGUGUAAAUACACAGUAUAUUUCAAUGAAAAGAAUUGUCUUCUUUAUACUUUAUUUGUUUUCCCAUAAGGAAACAUUAAUGUUUACAUUCUUUAAUAAAGUUAAUCUUACAUCAGAAUAUAACUUAAUACUGUCAGCAACAGGGACCACACACAGUAAAUAAGAAGCACAUUUAAAAUAAGUCUGAAUUCACAUAGAUUAACAUUUGUUGGUUAAUAAAAUAUUGACAGUAUUACAAUCUUACAAUAUUUACAGUAAGAAAAAUCUAGAGUAAUAUAUACCUUUCACAGCAGGAUUCCUUUUAAAAAUUUCUUCCAGUUUGGGAUUGUGUAUACACAAAAAGCUCAAAAUAAAGCAACUCUGCAAUAUAAUCUUAAAAUAAUGGCUACUAGGGGGAUAUUCUAUCACAACCAUUGAAAAUAAUGGUGACUUCUCACGGAGUCUGUGGCAUCUGAGAACCCAGUUAAUUAACCAAAGUCUUGCUCAAGCCAGCCUCAGUUACCCAGAUUAAAGCUGCAGAACUCCGGCCUUCCCUGACCGCUGAAAACCCAACUGAUUUCCUCAUCAUGCUAUAAGAAAAGAGGGAAAAUUGGUUUCAGCUCAUACCUCAUGGCUGGAAGCUUCCGGCCAGUGCACAUUCCCUAAAUUAUGCUUUAAAAAGGGCCAAUUUCAUCCCUUUGGCAUCACAAGAGUCCAUCCUCCCAUCACAGUGCAUCCUGAUACCAAGCUCACUCAUUCCUCAACCCUUGUGCAUUGAGAUAAAGCAUGAACUUGGCCCAUAUAAUACACACCAGUAUCUUAGAGACUUGGGACCGGGGGCAAAGAAACAGACUAGUGUAGUUUGCAUUGAGAUCAAUAGGAAAAAUGGGAAGUGAUGCACAUUUCCAAUUAGAAUGACAAGAAGACCCACAUCCCUAAACUGGAACUUGGCCAGGGCAUCAGAGUUAGCACCCCCUCUCUGAGUACCACAAGCAAUUCACGUGUGUGCUCUGGGCCUCCACUAAGAGAGAGCAUCUACAUUAACACAGUAUGGGACAUUAGUUCAGUGAUGACUCCCAAGAAAGCAGAUACAAUUCUUGAAACUGGGGCUGUCUACAACACCUGAGGUCAAUCAUCUGAGCUGUGACCUGUCCCAACCCUGCUCACUUUAUCUGAUGGGCACAGAGCACUCAGGGAUACGGCUGCUGGCUACUUUGGACUCUAGAUCUCACAGGUAAUCAACAGGUAUCUGGGAUUGAAUUAGCAAACUGUACCAUGGCUCCUUAAACAGACACUGUCAGGUUUGAAAUCAUGUCAAGCAUGAAUCUUCACUGUCAGGUCAGAAAUCAAAGUGGGAGUCUUCCCACAUUAGCCAAGGUUAUUUUGUCAAAACCUUAGAGGAGUUGGACAGUUUUUCAUGUUGCAAGUGAUUAGUGUACUUAUUUCAGUCAAGGUGGAUUGACAAACCAGACUGAUCUAUUUAGUUUAGUUUUUGAUUCUUACAUAUGUGCUAACCCAAAGUUGUUGUAUUUGGGUUAAAUACACUGACAGAGAAAAUUCAAACAACAAAAGUUUCAGCAAACUUCUGUGGCAUAUUCUUUUUGGAAGUCAAUGCAAGAUCUAAGGUAUUUCUACCCAACAAGGUCUGUUUAAGUGUUUAAUGUUACUUCCUUUAUGGUCCUAUACAGAAUGCUAUCACUUCUAUAUAGGUCUGAAUGCUGCUCCAUGUAGAUUCCUUCUGUAUAUCUAAAAAUAUAUACUUCUCAGUAGUUCAGUACAUGGUUAAUCUUCCCACAGAGGAAGAUUUUUGUAAUUACAUGUUUCAAAGUAGAAAAACAUCUCCUUUCUAAGAAAGGAAAUAUACUUUCCUAUUGUACACUUUUGAAUAAGCCCAAAGGCAUGCACCAAAAAUCAUUAAAACUAACACAUGCAUUAAAAUGGUGUAGAGUUAGACUUAAAGUGCUGCUUCUCAAUUUUUAAAUUUGACUAAAUUUGACAUUUUGUCAGUUGUUGACUCAAAGAUCUCCCCCCCGCCCCACACCCCAUCCUGUGGCAUCAAGAAAGUAAAAACUAUGCAUAAAUCUUUAAACUAUUAUUUAUAUGGGGGAGAGAAUGGAUAUAUCAACUAUCCUAUUUAUAAACUGGAUUCCCAGUUUCAAAUAAAAUCAGUAUUUACUGGUAAAAAUUGUCAAAGCUAAUUUACCCAAACAAAUAUUUCUAGUAAAUAAUGUUCUACAUAAAGGAUAAUUUACUUUGGUUUUAUGCACCUUCUCAAAAAUAAUACUAGUGUCCCAUACGUAUAUCAGCAAACUGAUGUGUUCCAGCAGUUGUAAGGCAAAUCUUUUUUUCCCUAGUGACAUCUUGUUUCCCAACAGACAAAACUAAAAUCUUUUGGUGAGGAAGGGGUUAAGAUAAUGGCUAACCCCUUGGCAUCCUGAGCAUUGUGGUUUAUCAAACUCUACCCUGCUAGAAGCUGUCAGGCACCCUGACCCCUGCCUUGAACCAAAAAUGGCUCCCAUGUCUAAAGAUGCCCUGACUCCUUUUAAGUAGCUCUCAGAAUUUUGCUUCUUUUUUCUUUCUGUCUGGAUGUUAAAAUGUCUAACAAAGCUUGUUGCAAUGUCACAUUUUGCUAGUGGGGCCACCAUCUAAUAACUGCAAUCUGAAAUGUUUUAAGACAAUAGUUAGUUCCUAAUUUUUAUCAAAUAUUUGCAUUAGAAUGUUCUUUAUGGAGUUUACUUGGAGCAUAGAUCCUUAACUUAGGUUUCAGAAGAUGUGAUGCCCCUGAGGUUGUAUGCAAAAUUAUGUGUAUGUGCAUUUUUUUCCUGGGGACAGGGUCCAUCACUUUUGUCAGAUUAUCAAAGGUAUCUGUGAUUCCCCCAAAAAGGAUCACGGGACUUAAGAGGGAUACCCGUAAUUCAUUUUAUACCAUGAUUGGGAACUGGGAGCACAAAAUGAAAAAGAACCUCCAAAAAGGGUUGAGGGAGGCAAAUGUUGAUCAUUUAUUCACACUUGGGAAAUAAUUACUUUAAACUAGGAAAAAGAACUAAUUAAGCUGGUUAAACUCCAUUUAAAAAUAAAGCCACUUUAAAAAAUUUUUUCAUUUUCCGUAUGUGGUAAAUUUAGUCUCCAAGAAAAAGUUUGGGGAUUGAAUUUCCCUCUUUUCCUAAAGAAAAAUGAUAGAUAUAAUGCUGAACAUCACCCACGUUUAAAGACCUAACAACAUAAAACUUAGGUAACUCUAAUGAUGUAAGCCUUUAACUUGUGAUUUGUAUAGGAUUAUGUAGAGUCAAAUCCACAUCUAUUAACCUCUAUUCCCCCAGACUGGUUUAUAGUUAGACAACUACAAUUCCACUAGAUAAACUUAAAAUCUAGACAGUGGAAGUUGUCUUAUAGUCAAAUUAAAAACAAAGCCACGGGUUCCACAACAGAAUCUGGCCACAAACAUUCACACCAUGUUAUAGAGGACAUUCUCAUUUCAAAUACACCAUCAAAUUUUCAACAGAAUUUUCAAAUACCAGAUCCAGAAUGACUAGCAAAACAUGCUGAGAGGAGCACGUCAAGAAUUAAAACACUACCAUCCCUUCUCCCCAGAAACACAUUCGGGCAUUCUGAAAAUAAGCAAGAUCUGAAAAAGGCCGCUUACUUGUUAGUUUUAAGUAUGUAAAAAUUAUGGGAAAGGGAAUAUAAAAUGAAACAAUGAAAUAACUUAUAAAAAACAAUUUCAGCCAAAAACACAUCUCUCUGUUCUAUUGACAAAACUGUCAAAUCUCUUUUUUGCAAUUAUAAACACUGUGUUACACAAUCUCACUAAGACAAAAAAAUAUGCUUACAGGUACACUUUUUGUUCUUUCCUUUUAGAGAACACCUCUGAGGUUAUAAGACUGCCUCUGGUUAAAAUAAAGUCUCUUAUCCCUUGCUGCACCCUUCCUCAAAAAAUGAGUCAAUUCUGAAUUCCAAAAAGGAAUAGUCAUUUAAGCAAUUCUUUCAAUACCAGUUAUAUCAUAUAGACCAUGAGGAAACUAUAUGAACAUCAUGGAAAACUACAUGAAAGAGGCAGAUGCCACUGCCACCCACUUCACUUCCAGUUUUUUAAGCAUGUACCCAGUAAGACUCAGAUCUCAUUGACUAAAGUGGAAACAAACCAACACUCCAAAACCAGGCUAUCUGAGGCUGGAAGCUAGAUCUCAAAGCUAUAUCUAUCCUAAGCUUUUACUUUAUUUAAAACGUUUAAUAAAGCUCACAUUUACAAAGAAUUUUAUUGGCAAAUC